rnacentral:rRNA from 1 species
GACGAACGCUGGCGGCGUGCUUAACACAUGCAAGUCGAACGGAAAGGCCCUGCUUUUGUGGGGUGCUCGAGUGGCGAACGGGUGAGUAACACGUGAGUAACCUGCCCUUGACUUUGGGAUAACUUCAGGAAACUGGGGCUAAUACCGGAUAGGAGCUCCUGCUGCAUGGUGGGGGUUGGAAAGUUUCGGCGGUUGGGGAUGGACUCGCGGCUUAUCAGCUUGUUGGUGGGGUAGUGGCUUACCAAGGCUUUGGCGGGUAGCCGGCCUGAGGGGGUGACCGGCCACAUUGGGACUGCGAUACGGCCCAGACUCCUACGGGAGGCAGCAGUGGGGAAUAUUGCCCAAUGGGCGGAAGCCUGAUGCAGCAACGCCGCGUGCGGGAUGACGGCCUUCGGGUUGUAAACCGCUUUCGCCUGUGACGAAGCGUGAGUGACGGUAAUGGGUAAAGAAGCACCGGCUAACUACGUG